rnacentral:rRNA from 1 species
GGGGCAUUUGGAUUAGGGCGUCUACUUGUAGAGCCUGACCUCCACUUCUAACACUGUGCACUUGAUGGCGAGGUAAUGGAACUUUCGAGUGAAACUACCUUGCGGCUUCAUUUUAAACAUUAGUCAAAGUAUGUCAUGAAAUAUAAAAACAAAAAAAAACUUUCAACAACGGAUCUCUUGGCUCUCGCAUCGAUGAAGAACGCAGCGAAAUGUGAUAAGUAAUGUGAAUUGCAGAAUUCAGUGAAUCAUCGAAUCUUUGAACGCACCUUGCGCUCCCUGGUAUUCCGGGGAGCAUGCCUGUUUGAGUGUCAUGAACUCUUCAACCCACCAGUUUCUAGUAGACUGCGUUGGUGUUUGGAUUUUGAGCGUUGCUAGUCUGACUAGCUCGUUCGUAAUAUAUUAGCAUCUCUAAUUCGAAUUCGGAUUGACUCAGUGUAAUAGACUAUUCGCUGAGGACACUUUUAUUAGUGGCCGUACUAGAACCAGUAGAAGCUUCCAACUAUUGUAGUCAACUUUAAUUUAGACCUCAGAUCAGGCAGGAUUACCCGCUGAACUUAAGCAUAUCAAUAACCGGGAGGGAAGAAA